rnacentral:rRNA from 1 species
GGAUUAGAUACCCUGGUAGUCCACGCCCUAAACGAUGUGUGCUAGACGUUGGGGGGCUUGCCCUUCGGUGUCGUAGCUAACGUGUUAAGCACACCGCCUGGGGAGUACGGUCGCAAGAUUAAAACUCAAAGGAAUUGACGGGGGCCCGCACAAGCGGUGGAGCAUGUGGUUUAAUUCGACGCAACGCGCAGAACCUUACCAGCCCUUGACAUGGUGGUUUCGGUUUCCAGAGAUGGAUUCCUUCAGUUCGGCUGGACCAUCACAGGUGCUGCAUGGCUGUCGUCAGCUCGUGUCG